rnacentral:misc_RNA from 1 species
UAUUUUUAUGAUUAAAAUUUAUUUUAUUUAAUUUAAAUUAUUUUAAAUGUGAAAAUACACUUUAUUUAGGCGAAUUGUGAUUUUCAUGUCUUGUACUCCUGUCUUUGCGACGAGUCUGAUUUGAGUCCUUGAGAGUGAUUCUCAAAGUUUUUUAUUUUAAUUUGAUUCGGCUUGAUUUUGUCAAAUUAGUUUAAUUCAAAAUCAAAUGGAUCCAUUGCGUGAUGGAUGGGACUUGGAAUUCUGAACUGCGUGAUAAUGGAGUUAAUAGGCAUUAGAUAGGG